AAGAAGAAGAAGAAGAAGAAGAAGACGUCUAGUCUGAACGAAGCGCAGUUCAUUUCGCAGGACGGAGAGAGUGGAGCGAAUUUGCCAAGAUGCAGUUUAGAUUUAAUUAUUAUGAUUAUUUUAUUAUUUGUUCCACUUCUCCUUCAGCAGUUAAGAGAACUCGUGUGAAUGAUAAGCACAGGAGUGAUGAAAUUGAAGAAGCUCUUUUAUCAUUGAUUCAGAAACGUGUUGUCGUGUUAUUUACGGUUACAGUGGACUUCGUGGCCAGUGAUUCAAGGGGGAGAAGGUGAAUUGGAAUCGGCCGAGGUUUGCUGGUUCAUCACUAUGUUCAUUGUAAUGGCUGUGGUUAUUGCAAAUGUAUAACUUGUACUGUAACUUAAUGUGGAUGUAGCAAAAUUGUACAAAACGGUUUGUUCCUAUACACAAUAAACAAAAUACAUGUCUUUUG